rnacentral:tRNA from 1 species
UCGGAUAUGGUGUAACGGCUAACAUUGCCGCCUCUCAUGUAUGUGCGCGGCAGCUCGGGGUUCGAUUCCCCGUAUCCGAA